AAGCCUUUUCUGACCCCAUGGAGCUGUAUGAGACAUCCCCCUACUUCUACCAGGAACCCCGCUUCUAUGACGGGGAAAACUACCUGCCUGUCCACCUCCAGGGCUUUGAGCCACCAGGCUAUGAGCGGACGGAGCUCACCCUGAGCCCCGAGACCCCAGGGCCCCUCGAAGACAAGGGGCUGGGCACCCCUGAGCACUGUCCGGGCCAGUGCCUGCCGUGGGCGUGUAAGGUGUGUAAGAGGAAGUCGGUGUCCGUGGACCGGCGGCGGGCGGCCACACUGAGGGAGAAGCGCAGGCUCAAGAAGGUGAAUGAGGCCUUUGAGGCCCUGAAGAGGAGCACCCUGCUCAACCCCAACCAGCGGCUGCCCAAGGUGGAGAUCCUGCGCAGCGCCAUCCAAUACAUCGAGCGUCUCCAGACCCUGCUCAGCUCCCUCAACCAGGAGGAGCGUGACCUCCGCUACCGGGGCGGGGGUGGGCCCCAGCCAGGGGUAAGUGGCCAUCCUGUCCCCCUGCCCCAGGGGGAGGGGGCCAGAGGGAGGCACCUGGACAACCUCAAGACCCCAAGAGGGGCUCAGAGGGUUGGAGCAGGUGCCAGACAGGGUCGAGGGGCUUCAGGAGCCCUUCCCUGGUCAGAGCUGGGCUAUCCAGCUGACCUCCUGUGUCCUGUGUUCUUUCCAGAUGAGAUAGAGGCAGUGGGGAGGAAGUGCAGAAGGGGUGGGGGUGGGGAACACAGGACUGAAGAAAGGAUCAGGAGCAAGGCCACAGUCAGCCCGGGUAAGGGUGAGGAUUAAUCACAGAGCCUGAGUCAGAGCCUAAAAGGCCAGGCCAAGUUCACCAGAGAAGGCUGCUUUGCCCCCUGCCCCACCCCCAUCCUGGGUGUGGCUGAGCAGAGAGAAAACCCACUCAGUCUCAUUGGAACUCCAGCAGGCCUGCACAGAGUGACCUUCACUGGGCCAGAAAAUCUGUCUCCAUCACCCUUAUCACCAGAGUCAGGAGAACCAGGGACCUUUAACCUGGGGUCCUGUGAGGGCAGAACCACCACUCAGGAUGGAAGCCAAGAAGGCCUGGAAGCAGGGCCUCUAGGACAUGAGAGGAGCUGGUUACUAAGAUUCUGGGGUUGGGGAUGGCCUGGGCUGGAAGGCCACAGCCUGUGGCCCACCCUCCAACCCCACCACAGGUGCUUCUGCCCACUGGGACUAGGCAGAGAGACACAUCAAAGAAUGGCUGUGCCCCGACCUUGGGCCUUCGCCCUGUCUUGCAGGUGCCCAGCGAAUGCAGCUCUCACAGCGCCUCCUGCAGUCCAGAGUGGGGCAGCGCACUGGAGUUCGGCGCCAACCCUGGGGAUCAUCUGCUCACGGCUGACCCUACAGAUGCCCACAACCUGCACUCCCUCACCUCCAUCGUGGACAGCAUCACAGUGGAAGAUGUGUCUGUGGCCUUCCCAGAUGAAACCAUGCCCAACUGAGAUUGUCUGCCAAGCCAGGCAUCCUUGCAAGCCCCCCAAGCUGACCACAGAUGCCACUGCUUCUGUAGCAGGGGCCUCCUAAGCCAGGCUGCCCUGAUGCUAGGAAGCCAGCUCUGGGGUGCCAUAGGCCAGACUAUCCCCUUCCUCAUCCAUGUAAGGUUAACCCACCCCCCAGCAAGGUACUGGAUGCCCUCAUUCAGCUGCCUCCUUAGAGGACAGGGCAUCCCCUUUCCAGGAAGGUAAAGCAGGGGACCAGAGCGCCCCCUCGUGUAUGCCCCAGUUCAGGGGGCAAACUCAGGAGUUUCCUUUUUAUCAUAACAUGGCCUCUAAUUCCACCCCCUAAGUGAAACGGUUUGAGUGACACAGACAGUGUCCUGACCUGGACAAGCUGUGCACGUCUCCUGUUCUGGUCUCUUCACGAUGCCAGUGGCUGGGCUGGGCCUGCCCUGAAUUGAGAGAAAAGAAGGGGAGAGAAACAAUCCUCUGUUCCCAAGUCCCUGGGGGGCCAAACUUUUGCAGUGAAUAUUGGGAACCUUCCAGUGGUUUUAUGUUUUGUUUUGUUUUGUGUGUUGUUUGUAAAGCUGCCAUCUGACCAAGGUCUCCUGUGCUGAAGUUGCCGGGGACAGGCAGGGAAAGGGGGUUGGGGGCUCUUGGGGGUGAUUUCUUUUGUUAACUAAGCAUUGUGUGGUUUUGCCAUUGUUUUGUAUUUUUUUUUUUUUUUUUUUUUUUUUUUGCUAACUUAUUUGGAUUUCCUUUUUUAAAAAAUGAAUAAAGACUGGUUGCCAGAA